rnacentral:lncRNA from 1 species
AAAAAAACUUCAUGAUCUUCAAUAAGUUAAUUUUCAAUUUUAAAACUGUCACUAAAUAUUGUGACAAAAACUUACAGAAAACAUAACAUUGAAAAUUCUUAUUAAUUCAAAGUCAUUGGCCAAUGUCCUUAGUGGUACCUUCCUAGGGGACAGGGCCUGAAUAAAGGACUUAUAGUGGGUAGCUGUCUCAUUGGAAAUCAAUCCAUAACUUCGUUUUUAUAUUACAUGUAUUAUUCAUAGCACUUUUUUUCACUCUUCCUUUUUUCAUCUUUAUUUUUUUUGCAGUUCCUCUCUUUAAUUUCUAUGAUUUCUACAUAAAAAGCACAACAAAAGAGUAAAAAUCGUUUUUAAUGACAACACUACUAUUUAAUAUCAGAACAGUAGACUAAGGAUUCCAGUCAUGUUGACUUAUGUUUUUCUCUUCAGAUCAUUCUCUGUCAAUAACAACUUUG